GACGAACGCUGGCGGCGUGCUUAACACAUGCAAGUCGAACGGAAAGGCCCUGCUUUUGUGGGGUGCUCGAGUGGCGAACGGGUGAGUAACACGUGAGUAACCUGCCCUUGACUUUGGGAUAACUUCAGGAAACUGGGGCUAAUACCGGAUAGGAGCUCCUGCUGCAUGGUGGGGGUUGGAAAGUUUCGGCGGUUGGGGAUGGACUCGCGGCUUAUCAGCUUGUUGGUGGGGUAGUGGCUUACCAAGGCUUUGACGGGUAGCCGGCCUGGGAGGGUGACAGGCCAAAUUGGGACUGAGAUACGGCCCAGACUACUACGGGAGGCAGAGGUGGGGAAUAGUGCACAAUGGGCGGAAGCCUGAUGCAGCAACGCCGCGUGCGGGAUGACGGCCUUCGGGUUGUAACCCGCUUUCGCCUGUGACGAAGCGUGAGUGACGGUAAUGGGUAAAGAAGCACCGGCUAACUACGUG
rnacentral:rRNA from 1 species